ACUUUUGGUGACUCACCAAAGGAAGCUGGGUUGCAACAACAGGUCUGUGAUGCCCUU
rnacentral:rRNA from 1 species